rnacentral:rRNA from 1 species
AUUGAACGCUGGCGGCAUGCCUUACACAUGCAAGUCGAACGGUAACGCGGGGCAACCUGGCGACGAGUGGCGAACGGGUGAGUAAUGCACCGGAACGUGCCCAGUAGUGGGGGAUAGCCCGGCGAAAGCCGGAUUAAUACCGCAUACGACCUACGGGUGCAAGGUGGGGAUCGCCAGACCUCUCGCUACUGGAGCGGCCGAUGUCAGAUUAGGUAGUUGGAGGGGUAAAGGCCCACUAAGCCUUCGAUCUGUAGCUGGUCUGAGAGGACGACCAGCCACACUGGGACUGGAACACGGCCCAGACUCCUACGGGAGGCAGCAGUGGGGAAGUUUGGUCAAUGGGCGCAAGCCUGGUCCAGCCAUGCCGCGUGCGGGAAGAAGGCCUUCGGGUUGUAAGCCGCUUUUGUCAGGGAAGAAACGCUCUGGGCUAAUACCUCGGGGUAAUGACGGUACCUGAGGAAUAAGCACCGGCUAACUACGUGCCAGCAGCCGCCGCGG